CCUACGGGUGACAGCAGUGAGGAAUAUUGGUCAAUGGACGCAAGUCUGAACCAGCCAUGCCGCGUGCAGGAAGACGGCUCUAUGAGUUGUAAACUGCUUUUGUACGGGGGUAAACGCAGAUACGCGUAUCUGUCUGAAAGUAUCGUACGAAUAAGGAUCGGCUAACUCCGUGCCAGCAGCCGCGGUAAUACGGAGGAUUCAAGCGUUAUCCGGAUUUGUUGGGUUUAAAGGGUGCGUAUGCGGUCGGUUAAGUUAGAGGGGAAAUCCCGAGGCUCAACUUCGGAAUUGCCUUUGAAACUGGUAGGCUAGAGAGCAGGUGCGGUAGGCGGAAUGUAUGGUGUAGCGGUGAAAUGCUUAGAGAUCAUACAGAACACCGAUUGCGAAGGCAGCUUACCAAGCUACUUCUGACGCUGAGGCACGAAAGCGUGGGGAGCAAACAGGAUUAGAUACCCUGGUAGUC
rnacentral:rRNA from 1 species